rnacentral:rRNA from 1 species
GACGAACGCUGGCGGCGUGCUUAACACAUGCAAGUCGAACGGAAAGGCCCUGCUUGCAGGGUACUCGAGUGGCGAACGGGUGAGUAACACGUGGGUGAUCUGCCCUGCACUUCGGGAUAAGCCUGGGAAACUGGGUCUAAUACCGGAUAUGACCUUCCAUGUAGUGUGGGGGGUGGAAAGAUUUAUCGGUGUGGGAUGAGCCCGCGGCCUAUCAGCUUGUUGGUGGGGUAAUGGCCUACCAAGGCGUCGACGGUUAGCCGGCCUGAGAGGGUGGACGGCCACAUUGGGACUGAGAUACGGCCCAGACUCCUACGGGAGGCAGAAGUGGGGAAUAUUGCACAAUGGGCGGAAGCCUGAUGCAGCGACGCCGCGUGGGGGAUGACGGCCUUCGGGUUGUAAACCUCUUUCGACAGGGACGAAGCUUCGGUGACGGUACCUGUAUAAGAAGCACCGGCUAACUACGUG